GCCAGCGUGGCAUAGUAGGUUGAGUGUUGGACUAUGACUCUGGAGACCCGGGUUUGAGCCCCUGCUUGGCC